UAGGCGCGGACGUAAUAACCUGUAUGUGGCUUCAACUAUAGCUACAACGGCAUUAUGAGGUAACGAGGUUUUCUAGCCAGCAAAGAAUUUUGUGCUGCUCUGUGACUUCGACUAGAGACGGCAAUAAGAUUAGGUGGGAAUUACCAGAGCAUAUACAUCACCGAGCACGGUCACUUGGCCUUUUUCCAUUUUGGAUUAGAGAUGCUAGCGCCACGUAGUAGCCGUAAGCUGUCGUUGGAUUGAUAGCAUGGCAUCUAUGUUAAACCAUGGGAAAGUUUCUUAUUGUUUGUCAUUUGAUUUGUUAAAUAAUCGCGAGCCGCAACUGAAAUUUGUUUCAUCGGGAGGUCAGCUGUGGUGAUGGUGCAUUCAGGGCACCAAAUGCACCCUUCCUGUGGCUGUAUGCCUUGAGAUUUGGCAGAUGGAAUUGGUGCCAGGAUCAUGGUUGAACAGACACUUCUGUACGCGAAUCGAAAAUCUUUUGCUGAUGAAUUAAACCUAUGUCUGCCUUUUGAGCGGAUCUGUGAGAAGAGGUUCUCAAUACAGUCUUGGUUCAGCCUACCAAAACUCUGCUGUCAUUGUUGCUUCACAUCUGAUUUUUCCGAGUGAAGCUAGAAUCUUCAUCCCGGCAUAUAC